rfam:Gossypium hirsutum cultivar TM-1 unplaced genomic scaffold scaffold238.1, whole genome shotgun sequence
UAUUAAAAAUUCUAUCUAUUUCUACCAUUAAAAAUUGAUGUAGUUGAGGGAAUAAUUAGAUAGUUACAUGUGACAUAUCAUAUGUAUCUCAUAUUGACAUACAAUGACCCGUUUUUAAUAGUAAAACAGGAUGAAAUUUUUAACU